UACGAAGGGGGCUAGCGUUGCUCGGAAUCACUGGGCGUAAAGCGCACGUAGGCGGAUUCUUAAGUCAGGGGUGAAAUCCUGGAGCUCAACUCCAGAACUGCCUUUGAUACUGGGAGUCUCGAGUCCGGGAGAGGUGAGUGGAACUGCGAGUGUAGAGGUGAAAUUCGUAGAUAUUCGCAAGAACACCAGUGGCGAAGGCGGCUCACUGGCCCGGAACUGACGCUGAGGUGCGAAAGCGUGGGGAGCAAACAGG
rnacentral:rRNA from 1 species